GACGAACGCUGGCGGCGUGCUUAACACAUGCAAGUCGAACGGAAAGGCCCUGCUUUUGUGGGGUGCUCGAGUGGCGAACGGGUGAGUAACACGUGAGUAACCUGCCCUUGACUUUGGGGUAACUUCAGGAAACUGGGGCUAAUACCGGAUAGGAGCUCCUGCUGCACGGUGGGGGUUGGAAAGUUUCGGCGGUUGGGGAUGGACUCGCGGCUUAUCAGCUUGUUGGUGGGGUAGUGGCUUACCAAGGCUUUGACGGGUAGCCGGCCUGAGAGGGUGACCGGCCACAUUGGGACUGAGAUACGGCCCAGACUCCUACGGGAGGCAGCAGUGGGGAAUAUUGCACAAUGGGCGGAAGCCUGAUGCAGCAACGCCGCGUGCGGGAUGACGGCCUUCGGGUUGUAAACCGCUUUCGCCUGUGACGAAGCGUGAGUGACGGUAAUGGGUAAAGAAGCACCGGCUAACUACGUG
rnacentral:rRNA from 1 species